UCGGGAAUUUUGGGCAAUGGGCGAAAGCCUGACCCAGCAACGCCGCGUGAAGGAUGAAGUAUUUCGGUAUGUAAACUUCGAAAGAAUAGGAAGAAUAAAUGACGGUACUAUUUGUAAGGUCCGGCUAACUACGUGCCAGCAGCCGCGGUAAUACGUAGGGACCAAGCGUUGUUCGGAUUUACUGGGCGUAAAGGGCGCGUAGGCGGCGUGGUAAGUCACUUGUGAAAUCUCCGAGCUUAACUCGGAACGGUCAAGUGAUACUGCUGUGCUAGAGUACAGAAGGGGCAAUCGGAAUUCUUGGUGUAGCGGUGAAAUGCGUAGAUAUCAAGAGGAACACCUGAGGUGAAGACGGGUUGCUGGGCUGACACUGACGCUGAGGCGCGAAAGCCAGGGGAGCAAACGGGAUUAGAUACCCCCGUAGUCCCUGAGCGGGC
rnacentral:rRNA from 1 species